rnacentral:rRNA from 1 species
GGAUAAUGCAGAUAAGGGAAUUCGGCAAAUUAGAUCCGUAACUUCGGGAAAAGGAUUGGCUCUGAGGAUUGGAUUCAAGGGCCCAUUCAUGAAAGCUUAGCUGUCUUGGAACUGCGGAGGCAACGAAGUGGCUCCAGGAUAGCGAACGCUGGAAUGGGUGGGACGUCUUCAUCGGCUUUCCUUGAAUAAUUAACAAUUAACUCAGAACUGAAGCGGACAAGGGGAAUCCGACUGUUAAUAAAAACAUAGCAUUGUGAUGGCCUGAAAAGGUGUUGACACAAUGUGAAUUCUGCCCAGUGCUUUGAAUGUCAAAAGUGAAGAAAUUCAACCAAGCGCAGGUAAACGGCGGGAGUAACUAUGACUCUCUUAAGGUAGCCAAAUGCCUCGUCAUCUAAUUAGUGACGCGCAUGAAUGGAUCAAUGAGAUUCCCACUGUCCCUAUCUGCUACCUAGCGAAACACACAGCCAAGGGAACAGGCUUGGAAUAAUCAGC